UACGGAGGGUCCAAGCGUUAUCCGGAAUCAUUGGGUUUAAAGGGUCCGUAGGCGGUUUUGUAAGUCAGUGGUGAAAGCCCAUCGCUCAACGGUGGAACGGCCAUUGAUACUGCAAAACUUGAAUUAUUGGGAAGUAACUAGAAUAUGUAGUGUAGCGGUGAAAUGCUUAGAUAUUACAUGGAAUACCAAUUGCGAAGGCAGGUUACUAUCAAUAUAUUGACGCUGAUUGACGAAAGCGUGGGGAGCGAACAGG
rnacentral:rRNA from 1 species